UACGAAGGGGGCUAGCGUUGCUCGGAAUCACUGGCGUAAAGGGUGCGUAGGCGGGUCUUUAAGUCAGGGGUGAAAUCCUGGAGCUCAACUCCAGAACUGCCUUUGAUACUGAGGAUCUUGAGUUCGGGAGAGGUGAGUGGAACUGCGAGUGUAGAGGUGAAAAUUCGUAGAUAUUCGCAAAAACACCAGUGGCGAAGGCGGCUCACUGGCCCGAUACUGACGCUGAGGCACGAAAGCGUGGGGAGCAAACAGG
rnacentral:rRNA from 1 species